KCCUNACACAUGCAAGUCGAAGCGGUGCAGGUUUGAAGCUUUCGGUGGAGAACUGCAUAGCGGCGGACGGGUGAGGAAAACGUAGGAACCGUGCCCCUUGGAGUUGGAUAGCCACGGGAAACUGUGGGUAAACCGACAUAGACUCGAGAGAGUAAAGGCCGAAAGGCGCCAAGGGAGCGGCCUGCGGCCCAUCAGGUAGUUGGUAGUGUAAAGGACUACCAAAGCCGACGACGGGUAGCCGGUCUGAGAGGAUGGCCGGCCACAAGGGCACUGAGAGACGGGCCCUACUCCUACGGGAGGCAGCAGUGGGGGAUUUUGGACAAUGGGCGAAAGCCUGAUCCAGCGACCSCCGCGUGGAGGACGAARCCCUUCGGGGUGUAAACUCCUUUUCUCAGGGAAAAAAGAUGAUGGUACCUUGAGGAAUAARSCCCGGCUAACUACGUGCCAGCAGCCGCGGUAWYACAANGGGCGAAAUUCUUUUUAAACCUUGCCGGGACUAAGUCCCUUUUAGUUGAGGGGUUUAAAUUCUGAACCUUUGGCCGGUAAAUCAAUUGGGUCCAUAAGCCUUGGUUUUUCCCUGGUNGUUGNAAAAA
rnacentral:rRNA from 1 species